AGAUUCGAUCAUACCAGCACUGGAGCACUGGAUCCCAUCAGAACUCCGAAGUUAGCGUUCUCGGGCGAGAAUAGUACUAGGACGGGUGACCUCCUAGGAAGUCCUCGUGUGUUGCAUUCC
rfam:Triticum aestivum genome assembly, contig: Triticum_aestivum_CS42_TGACv1_scaffold_392481_5AS